UGUAAACAAUAUUUAACAUAUUAAUGUUCUUAUUUAUAUUUUACAGUCCUGGAACUAUAGAAACAAAUAUCUUCUCAACAGUUGGAGCAAACGUAAAGGAAGUGAUGAAAAAAGCAGCCGAAACACAGCCAUUUGGUCGAGGAGGACAACCACAAGAGGUCGCCAGUGCAAUCGCUUUUCUCGCUUCUGACGAGGCUUCGUUUAUAACUGGAGAAACCUUGGUGAUAGAUGGCGCUAGAAUCGUCUCUUGCUAAGUUGUCUGAUUUGUUUCCGCAGUAAUAAUUUUUUUACAGAAAAUAAAACAUUAGUUGCUGAUUA